GCCUCCGUAGCUCAGGGGAUAGAGCGUCUGCCUCCGGAGCAGAAGGCCGCAGGUUCGAAUCCUGCCGGGGGCACCA
rnacentral:tRNA from 7 species